CUACGGGGCGCAGCAGUGAGGAAUUUUGCGCAAUGGGGGGAACCCUGACGCAGCAACGCCGCGUGAGUGAUGAAGGCUUUCGGGUCGUAAAGCUCUGUCAAGUGGGAAGAACCUAUGCAGUGUUAAUAUCACUGUAUACUGACGGUACCACUGAAGGAAGCACCGGCUAACUCCGUGCCAGCAGCCGCGGUAAUACGGGGGGUGCAAGCGUUAUUCGGAAUCAUUGGGCGUAAAGGGCACGUAGGCGGCUUGGUAAGUCAGAUGUGAGAGCCCGGGGCUUAACCCCGGAAGUGCAUUUGAUACUGUCAGGCUUGAGUAUGGGAGAGGGAAGUGGAAUUCCUGGUGUAGAGGUGAAAUUCGUAGAUAUCAGGAGGAACACCGGUGGCGAAGGCGACUUCCUGGACCAAUACUGACGCUGAGGUGCGAAGGCGCGGGUAGCAAACAGGAUUAGAUACCCUGGUAGUC
rnacentral:rRNA from 1 species